AGUGAACGCUGGCGGUAGGCCUAACACAUGCAGGUCGAACGGCAGCACAGUAAGAGCUUGCUCUUACGGGUGGCGAGUGGCGGACGGGUGAGGAAUACAUCGGAAUCUACUUUUUCGUGGGGGAUAACGUAGGGAAACUUACGCUAAUACCGCAUACGACCUACGGGUGAAAGCAGGGGAUCUUCGGACCUUGCGCGAUUGAAUGAGCCGAUGUCGGAUUAGCUAGUUGGCGGGGUAAAGGCCCACCAAGGCGACGAUCCGUAGCUGGUCUGAGAGGAUGAUCAGCCACACUGGAACUGAGACACGGUCCAGACUCCUACGGGAGGCAGCAGUGGGGAAUAUUGGACAAAGGGCGCAAGCCUGAUCCAGCCAUACCGCGUGGGUGAAGAAGGCCUUCGGGUUGUAAAGCCCUUUUGUUGGGAAAGAAAAGCAGCAGGUUAAUACCCCGCUGUUCUGACGGUACCCAAAGAGUAAGCACCGGCUAACUUCGUG
rnacentral:rRNA from 1 species